GACGAACGCUGGCGGCGUGCUUAACACAUGCAAGUCGAACGCUGAAGCUCAGCUUUUGUUGGGUGUCUGAGUGGCGAACGGGUGAGUAACACGUGAGUAGCCUGCCCCCUUCUUUGGGAUAACGCCCGGAAACGGGUGCUAAUACUGGAUAUUCACUGGUCUUCGCAUGGGGGUUGGUGGAAUGGGUUUUUCUGGUGGGGGAUGGGCUCGCGGCCUAUCGGCUUGUUGGUGGGGUAAUGGCCUCCCAAGGCGUUGACGGGUAGCCGGCAUGAGAGGGUGAACGGUAACAGAGGGACUGUGAUAAGGCCCAGGGGAGUAAGGGGGGGAGCAGUGGGGAAUAUUGGAGAAAGGGUGAAAGACUGAUGCAGCGACGGCGAGGGAGGGAUGGAGGUUGUAGAGUUGUGAACGUCUGUAGGUAAUGGUGAAGGCGAAACAAUGGUUGUGGUGAGGGUAGUGGGUAAAGAAGCGCCGGCUAACUACGUG
rnacentral:rRNA from 1 species